UGAACGCUAGCGGCAGGCUUAAUACAUGCAAGUCGAGGGGCAGCACGGUAUAGCAAUAUAUGGGUGGCGACCGGCAAACGGGUGCGGAACACGUACACAACCUUCCGGUGAGCGGGGGAUAGCCCAGAGAAAUUUGGAUUAAUACCCCAUACUAUAAUGAUCAGGCAUCUGGUUAUUAUCAAAGGCUUCGGCCGCUUAUUGAUGGGUGUGCGUCUGAUUAGGUAGUUGGCGGGGUAGAGGCCCACCAAGCCUACGAUCAGUAGCUGAUGUGAGAGCAUGAUCAGCCACACGGGCACUGAGACACGGGCCCGACUCCUACGGGAGGCAGCAGUAAGGAAUAUUGGACAAUGGACGCAAGUCUGAUCCAGCCAUGCCGCGUGAAGGAUGAAUGCCCUCUGGGUUGUAAACUUCUUUUACAGGGGAAGAAAGUUAUCUUUUUUAGGAUAUUUGACGGUACCCUAUGAAUAAGCACCGGCUAACU
rnacentral:rRNA from 1 species